AAAGUGCGGCGCAGGCAAGCCUUCCUACAGGGUUACUGUGUCAGCUGUGACCAAAUGUUGCGUAGUGGCUCACGAUGAAGGGCACGCACCAAGUGACCGAGUGGCUGUGCAUGAACAUACAGAUGGGGCAAUCAGCAUGAGUUUACUUCAGUUGCCAAAUUCUCCACACAUGAAGAGAAAUAUGAACUGUACCCGAUACUUCUCAAAGAAAGACGUAAUCGCCUGAUUCACUCACCUUGUACAAGGUGAGUGAAGGGGAAUUAGGCUGCCCGCACACAGGACUCUUUGGUCGGUGGUCGACAGAAAAAUGGUGACCACGAAAAAUGAUCGGCACUAGGUAGUUACACCCCCAUUCCUUGGGGGCCAUACACGCCGCACUCAAGCCACUCGGUGGCGGCUAGUGUUGUCAUGCUCAUUGCUGUCACCAUGACGGUGCGAAGGUAGUGGUUAGCUGUGCUUAAUGGAAAAUGAAACGCAAAAAGUGGCCAAGAAAGUACUGGGUAGGAUACACCCAAUGUCAGCCACAGACUGCUGGCUACACCCCACUGCUAGUCACAGACUGCUGGCUACAUCCUAUUGUUACUGCUGACUAUUGGCUAAACCCCAUGUUAGCCACAAACUGCUGUCUACAUCCCAUUGCUGACUACAGAUUGUUGGCUACAGUUAGUGUUAGCCACAGACUGCUGGCUACACCCUAUUGUUAGCUUACACAAUGCUGUCUCCAUCCCAUUUUAGCCACAGACUGUUGGCUACACCUCAUUGUUACCAUGGAUUACUGGCUACACCCUAUGUUAGCCACAGACUGCUGGAUACACACCAUUGUUAGCCACAAACUGCUGGCUACACCACAUUGUUUGGCAAGAUGGCAGUGAAGAGAAUCAACGAAUAUAUGUAUCUGAGAGUGAACGACAGACAGUGAGGAGUUUGGUCUUGGCAGUGUGCUGUGGGACGUCAGUGAGGUGGCACCGUAGCAGAUACUGUGAACUAAGGAGGCUGCAGUGAGGAACUUGCUGUCCCUGGCUGCUAUGGUGUUAGUACCGCCGUGCAUGGAGGAAGAGCUGCAGUACUUCAGGGUAGUGGUAGUGGUGUACCUUCAGCGCGUUGGGUCGGUGUGCGGUUGGCCCUAUAGGGUGUGAGGGUCCUGGGGGUACUGGUUAGGGUGGGACAGUGUCAUUGGCAUAUAACAUUUCUUGUGUUGGUGCGUGAAGUGUUUAUUUCUCCUGUUUAUUUGUAUGUGGAUUUACCCAUUUUCUCAUGGGAUCAGGUAUGUUGGAGUGCCAGCAGUGUGGCCUCUAAGAGUGUUAAGCACUCAUAUUUUAUUUGUGUUUUCUUUAUUAUGUACUCAUUUGUGUUUUCUUUAUUAUGUACUCAACCAUUAAAUUUUUAAAUUGUG